CUCUCUCACCCACCCCUUCCAGUUCCCACCCCUUCCAGUUCCCACCCCUCCCCCAAAGGAAAACUGAAGAGACCCGCAAAUCUCUCCGCUGCCCGCGCUGGUUCGAUCCGAUCUCCGGAUUCCGUGCAGCUCGCCCCCAUUCCCGCUGCUACACCGCUUUUACGCAGUCCAGUCCCCUGGUUUGGGCUUCGGAGAUCGCUGUGGCACCCAAGCUCGUAACCAGCAAGCAGGAGUGCAGGAGCCCUCGUCGCUGCACGCCACGCGAGCGCCGUUGAUUUAUGUCGACUGCUCUGCUGCUGCUCCAUGGUUCUGAGCUCCCGACAUCAUCAGCCGCGAAUCGCUCCCUUCUCCUCCAUCCUUGGCAGAGGGGCGCUAGAGGCUACAGGUUUCGCUUUAGCAUCUCGCGGUAAGUUUAUUUUCCUACGGGAUUGGUUGGCUAACACCAAAAUUUCCUGCUCUGUUUCAGUACAAUAUGCUCCUAGUACUGGUGUUGUGCUCUUUGAUAAUACAGUAAUAACUUAACAGCCUUGGCUUCUUGUGUUUAUUUAAUGUAAGCGACAAGUUUUCCUGCCCCCCCCCCCCCCCCCCCACACACACACACAAAAAAAAGAACCAAUGUCAUCUUGUCAUCUUCCGGUUGUAAAUAUAAAUAUGCAGCUUGCCAUGAUUCAGUUGAUAAAUUAUUUCCGUGUCAUGGAAUAACUUUGUGCUUCUUUAGUAUGUAAAUUAAUUUUGUACAUUACCAAAGUUGGAGACAACCAAUUUACGCAGUAUGUUGACCAGAUUUCGAUGUUGGGCCGCAUUAAAACUGAUCUUCCGCUUCAAUGUGCAUAGAAGUCAUCUCACUAGGUUAGAUAUUCAUAUCUAUUUGAUCCGUAAUGUGUCAGUUACCUAUUCUUGUUUGCAUGUUAGUUUGGUCUAUAUGAAUUUGGAAAGUUUCCUAUUGUAAUGUAUAAUGUUUCAGAUUUGGAUUUAGGGUGAAGUACUCUGGAUUUCUUCAUUUAGACCCUUUCUUCCUACUUUGCUGCACCUGAGGCAGUAAAUGUUUAGGAGUCCCCCAUAUCACAAUAAGUGUAGGUUUGGUUUCUGUGGAUUGACUUCAGCACGCCUCCCUCUUUAAGUUCAAUCAGUCAGCCAGAUUUCCAAUUUCUGAGUUCUGUUCAAGGAAGGAAUCAAAUAUUCUUUCCUUCAGUUUUGAUCUGAAGCGUGAGAGAAUCCUGCUGAUUCGGAAGAUUAUGUGCUGCAUUUGUUGCACAGACCAGGAGUCUUUAUCCCAGUUUUGUCUGAACAUUUACUUGUUAAGGCGAUCUGAAAGUUGUGCUACAAGAUGAUGCCUUGCAUGAAGAAGGUCCGCAUUUUCUGCUCUGAUCCUGAUGCUACGGACUCUUCUGGUGAUGAAGAAGGCCAGAACACCAAGGUAAAGAAAAUGGUAAGAGAGGUGCUGAUUCCAGUGAAUAACUCGAAGACCUCUAAAUGUGUGAAGACCCUUGUGCCAUGUGGAACAAAGGAUCUAGAGGUUUCAAAGAAGAAGGAGAAAUCAAGUAGGUUUUGUGGUGUGCGCAAGCGGCCCUGGGGUCGAUGGGCAGCUGAGAUCCGCGAUCCUGUGAAAAAAACCCGGAAGUCGAUCGGCUCAUAUGACUCUGAGGAGGCUGCUGCUGCAGCAUAUCAGGCAUAUGCAAACCAGAUCCGUGAAGAGCUGUUAGCCAUAAAAGCUCAACAGUUUGUAUCAGAACAUGCAGAUAUGUCAAGCUCAUCCUCGGUGUCUUGUGUAUCUUCAUCUGGCUGUGAGCAGACAGUACAAGUGCAGAAGGGAGUGUUCAUGGAGAUAGACCCUGAGCCUCUGGAUGAAGUAUUACUAAACUUCUCCACACCUAAGGAGAUUUCAAUGGAUGUCUUGCUAGGACGGAUAGAUGAGAUUUCUGUCAGUGAUUCUAUCAGCCUAGCCAAUGAACUUCCACAUGAUGAUUUCACUAGGAUUGAAGAUGCCUUUCCAAUCAGUGAUUUUAUCGGAGCAACACACAAGCCUCUCGAUGAAGACUAUAUUGGCCUGGCUAACAUUAGCCACCUGCCUCUUCCAAUGAAAGACCCGGCAUUCAAUCUGGAUGCAGAGCUUGAUUGGAGUGGGUUUGACUUUGAUACAAUCGAACAUGAGCUUCAGGUCCUUUGAGGGCGUGUCAGAGAUGUGUUAUACUGAAACCCACACCUGAUUGUGUCCUAUUCAGUGAAAAGCUGCUAUUCUAGUUUUCUAAGUUGUCUGAGAUUCUGAGUACAAUAACGAAUUCAGGUCAUCUAUCCAUGGAGGAGCUCAUGCUGAUAACAUGCAACUGCAGCUGCAUAAUUUGGACAAAAGUAACUUUAUUCUUAAAAUGAUAAUCAAUCAUAUUCAGAAAGCUGGGUAAAACAAUUGAUCAUAUUAUUAUAAUAAAGAGUUAGGUAUUAGUAUUUGUUGUCCUAUAUGUUGGGGAGCAUAUCCUCUCCACAUGAGAACUGUCUUUGUAUUGGACAUACAAGAGGAAUCUGAAAGUUGGAGUUUGUACUGUAUUUGUAAUAAGAACUGUGCAUCGGCAACACCACACACUAGAAGUGCAGCGUACAUGGUACUGUAUCAAGUAAAGUAUGUACUGGAGCAAGAAAUUUAUCAAGGCGCAUUCUGAAUAUCACUGCACACUGCUGCUAUGAACUUGUAUGCAAAUUUUGUCACUAUGGAGUAUGGACAACGACAAAAGUUCUAGUAUCAGCAUUGGUCACCCUCGUGUCAAUAAUGUUUCCUUUGAUUCUUAAAAGGCAAUCCUACAAUUCAAUGUUACUUGAGGUCGUUUGGCACCUCAGUUGGUAA